GUAAAAUAUUUUAUUGUGACUGGCAAUUCAAUCCAAUAUAUGAAUAUGAAGAUGAAAAUGUGUUGUAAAGAAAACAGUUUAACAACAUCAGAUGCAGAGUUACUUGAAGACAGCAGUUACAUGAAGAUAUCAGUGACGUUUCUAAACCCUACACCAGACCUUAACACCAGUAAGUAGCAGAAACGCAAAAAAAAAAAACAAAAAAAAGUAUUUGUUUAUUCUGUGCCUAAUUCAAGAAUGCUUUGUUGUCUGGUCUUUUACAAGCUCUGGUUACAUUAAUUUCCAUGAAAACUUCACUAUUAUUCAUCCUCUUUCAUAGUUCACCUUUACACUGAGUUAAAUUUGUGGCCUUGAUUAGCCAGGGGCUUUGUUGGUUGCACCACCGUUGAUCAUUCUGGUGCCUCACUUUCUGUCUCUUAUAGUUCUGUCUUUUAGUUUAGUUUUGUUUCUUUCCUCAGGCC
rnacentral:lncRNA from 1 species